CAGGUGGUAUCGCUGAGCGAGGAAGAGAGGCAGCGGGCUGAGAAGGCCAGGGCAGAUGCAGAGGCGGCGCGCAGGGCGGCCGAUGAGAAGCUGGCCGCAGAGGCCGAAGCGCGCCGCAGGCGUGAUGCCGAGCGCGUGAAGCUGCAGUUUGGGCCCCCGGCCCCGCCGCCCCCUGCCGUGAAGGCUGGGCCGACCCCCGAGGAGCUGGCGGCCGCCGCUGCAAAG
rnacentral:lncRNA from 1 species